rnacentral:rRNA from 1 species
UAAGGCCUACGGGACGCAGCAGUAGGGAAUCUUCCACAAUGGACGAAAGUCUGAUGGAGCAACGCCGCGUGAGUGAAGAAGGGUUUCGGCUCGUAAAGCUCUGUUGGUAGUGAAGAAAGAUAGAGGUAGUAACUGGCCUUUAUUUGACGGUAAUUACUUAGAAAGUCACGGCUAACUACGUCCCCGCAGCCGCGGUAAUACGUAGGUGGCCAGCGUUGUUUGGAUUUAUUGGGCGUAAAGCGAGUGCUGGCGGUUCAA